AAGUCGUAACAAGGUUUCCGUAGGUGAACCUGCGGAAGGAUCAUUACCAAAUCCAAAUCCCAACCCCAUGUGAACCUGUAUAUGUCUGUCUUUGGGGGAAAACACUGUGGUGUUAAAACACUUGCUGUUUUUUCCUUGCUUUAUUUUCCCCCAAAUGAGCCCCGGCACUUAGGUGCUGAUGGCUCAAUUGACUAAACCACUUUUUAAUUAUUGUUGGAAUAUCUUUUAUUAAUCUAAAUAAAGGACAACUUUUAACGGUGGAUCUCUUGGCUCGUG
rnacentral:misc_RNA from 1 species